rnacentral:rRNA from 1 species
CCAAUAGCGUAUAUUAAAGUUGUUGCAGUUAAAAAGCUCGUAGUUGAAUUUCGAGACCGGUCUACUGGUCGUGCUUUUGUACGUACUGGUUUUAUUGGUUUCUCCUUUCUGACGAACUAUAAUGCCAUUAAUUUGGUGUUAUAGGGAAUCAGGACUGUUACUUUGAAAAAAUUAGAGUGUUUAAAGCAGGCUCACGCUUGAAUACAUUAGCAUGGAAUAA